rnacentral:rRNA from 1 species
AUGGAGCUGGAGGCCUUCCAAACCAACCAAACAAGUAUCUACGUGAGAACACAACCAUGGCCACCAUGCUCGGCACCCCCGUCGUCAUCGGCGCCGGCUGCUCCUCCGGCCGCGCUGGGCGCAGAUACCAAUGGGCAGAGGAUGCUUCCUUGGCCAAGCCGAUGCCCGCGACCAGGCGGCUCCCCCGCGCCGGCAACGGCCCCUGCGGCCCCGUCGCACGCAGCCCCUCCAGCCACCUCCAAGCUCGUGGUGAAGCUGCGGCCGCCGCCCGCCGUCGUCCGCCGAGGUUCGACCCCGUUCGGCUUCUCCAGCAGCAUUUCAUCAAGUGAAGCAUCCAUUCCGGAACUGGAGUCCAUGCCACAGUCUCUUCUGUCCGUCCAUUCGACUGUCGUUGGCAACGUCGUCCCGGCGACGGCACCGGCCCUGCUCCAACAAUCUGCGCCACAAAUCCCGCGUCCGUCGCCGCCACACUCGCUCUCCCCCGAGCUUGCGACUGCGGAUUCUUCGGCACCGCUACCCACCGCUGCUGCGCUGGCUGUGACUGUCCUUGCUUCCCGCAGGUCAGACCCAACCAUUGGAGGGCGGAAGGCAACGACAUCCUCGGACGCUGCGCCCACUGCUCUUGCCUCGCAGAUCAUUGCUGGAGGCGACCGAUUCGUCCCGCCUGUGCGCCCUGGUUGGGGGGAUUGGCGUGGAUGCUUUCGUCGGGAUGACGCACCUACCGCUGAGUGUUGUGCGGCCGCUCCGCGCGGGGAUGUGCUGGGGGGCUGGCAGCUCGUCUCGAAGGGGCGUCGUUCGGCGCCUCCUCCGGCUUUUCAUCGCCGUACCUUCAAUGCACGGCUGCCUCCUCCGACAUGGCUGAGAGAUAGAUGUUUCCGGUGUUUGUGUCGGGGUCAUCGAGCACACUCUUGCAGGGAUCCAAUCAGUUGUAGGAAUUGCCUCCGUUUCGGCCACAUUGGUCGCUUCUGUCGUGCGAAGCAACCCGUCGACGAGGCUAUGCCGCAACCAUGUGUUGCUCCACCGCCUGCAUCCGUCAUCCAAGCUGAUGUGCCAUUACAACCCGUCCUUGAGCAGGCUGAGCUACUUUGCGUUGAGCUUCGCGAAUGUCUUGUGCGUGUUGAGAGUGUCUUGGCAAGGGCGGAGGUUGCUCUCGGUAAACUUCAAGUUGUGUCGAUCGGGUCUCUACUUCCCGAGCUUCAGGUUGGUUCUGUAGAUGGAGAGGAAGUCGACCUCUAUGGAGGGUUCUCUCCUCGUGCUAGGCCCUGCUCUAUGGUGUCGGCUGACGUUGGGGGUGAAGUGAUUGUUGAGGUUGUGGCUCCAAUUCUACAGAUUAUGCCUGAGUUGACAGUGCUAUGUGAGGAGUCCACUCCACCUCUUUCGGUGUCGAUUCCGAAGGAGAUGGGCUUGCUAGGGGCUUUGGCGGUGCCCACGACACCCUCACCACCGCCCUUGGAGUCUAGCCAGACUGACUUUGUGGUGUGUGCAGAUUUGGAUGCCUCGGUCACUCGCUCGCCUGUGACCGUUGGGCACGUGGUGCCUCCAGGUGGAGAUGUUGUUGGGACAAAUACGUUGGCACCUUGUUCCGAUGCUCUCUUUGCAAGAGAGCUUUGCAGCUUGCUCUCUAGCUUGGAGGCGGCUAGCCCUGGGUCUGCCGCCGGCGCGCCCGCUCAUCACCUCGCCCCGCUCCAUCCUUCCCCUACAACCUCCGGAGGAGGUCCGCCACACCUUGAGCAUAGGAAAAGUAUGCACGACAAAGACCAAGGCGUGGCUUGUAGAACCGGAAUAGAGAUAAGCUGCUCUGCCCAUUCUCCUUUCCAUCUGCCAUUUCCGACCAUUAUGACUAAGCUUGUGCUUCUCAGCCGAGGAACUGCACUACUGCUUUGUCUAUUGAUCUUCCAAUCAGCAUCCACUUCCCAUGGCCAAGCGAGUGUAUCUGGAGCCUGCAUCAGCAGCGAGCGAGAUGCGCUUCUGUCCUUCAAGGCAAGCCUCUUGGACCCUGCUGGCCGUCUCUCUUCCUGGCAGGGUGAGGAUUGUUGCCAAUGGAAGGGAGUCCGGUGCAGCAACAGAACGGGCCAUCUCAUCAAGCUCAACCUCCGCAACAGCGACAUGUACGAGUACAGUUACUACAUGGACGACUACAUGUACGACUACAUGUACCACUACAGCCACUACAGCUACCCGAACGAGAGCAAACCAUUGAGCUUGUCGGCAGGCGAGAUGAGCUCUUCUUUGGCUACUCUACAACACCUGAGGUAUCUUGAUCUGAGCGGGAAUGACUUCAAUGGCACAAGCAUCCCUGUGUUCUUAGCUUCUCUCAAGAACCUAAGGUAUCUCAACCUCUCGUGGACAGGAUUCAGUGGGAGAAUACCUUCCCAACUUGGCAAUCUCUCAAAGUUGCAAUAUCUUGAUCUCAGUAGGAAUUAUGAUUAUAAUUGGAUUGAGUCUUACAUAGUGGAUCUUGCAUGGUUGUCACGUCUCUCUUUGUUGAGUCAUCUUGACAUGAGCUAUGUGGAUCUUAGCUCUGCGAGGGAUUGGUUUCAGAUGGUUAGCAUGCUUCCUUCUCUGAAAGUGCUUCGCUUGUCCGAGUGUGGACUCAAUGGUAUUAUAUCUGCUAGUAUAUCAAUUUCCAACCUCACACAUCUUGAGGUCCUAGAUGUGUCUGAUAACACCUUCAGAAUACCUUCCCAAUUUGGCAAUCUCUCAAAGUUGCAAUAUCUUGAUGUGAGUUGGAAUUUUUAUCCCAAUGUGGAUCAUGCAUGGUUGUCACGUCUCUCUUCGUUGAGCCAUCUUGACAUGAGUUCUGUGGAUCUUGGUUCUGCGAGGGAUUGGUUUCAGAGUGUUAAUAUGCUUCCUUCUCUUAAAGUGAUUGGCUUGUCCAGUUGUGGACUCAACAGCACCAUGUCUGCUAGUAUAUCACUUUCCAACCUCACACAUCUCGAAGUCCUUGAUAUGUCUGGUAACAACUUCUAUACUUCACUCAAGCAUGCAUGGUUUUGGAAUCUCAAAAGCCUUAAGGAGCUUUACCUCUCCUAUUCCAGCUGGAUAGGGUCUAUUCCUAGUGAUUUGGCAAACAUGACGACCCUUCAAGUCAUAGAUUUAAGUUGGAAUCAACUCGUGGGUUUGAUACCAGAAAAUUUGGAAAAUUUGUGCAAUUUGGAAAUAAUGAGGUUUAGUGGUAACAACAUAGGUUCGAGCAUAGGGGAGUUCAUGAGGCGAUUACCAAAGUGCUCAUGGAAUACAUUGCAAGAAUUUUCAGUGCAGGAUGCAAAUAUGACCGGGAAUCUACCCGGUUGGAUUGGUAACAUGACCAAUCUCAUUGUUCUUCAUCUAUCUGAAAACAUGUUGUGUAGCCCUCUACCUGUAGGAGUUGGAGCACUGAGUAAUUUGAAAUGGCUGAACCUCAGGAACAAUAACUUCAGUGGUGUGCUCUUGAAAGAACAUUUUGCAAGCUUAGGUAACUUAGAGAUUUUGGACCUCAGAUACAAUACCUUCAACGGUGUGUUGUUGAAAGAGAUAUUUGCAAGAUUAGUAAAAUUAAGGAUUUUGGACCUCAGCUACAACAAAUUCAGUGGUGUGCUCUUCAAGGAAAGUUCUGCAAGUUUUGGUAAUUUGGAGCAUUUGGACCUCAGCUAUAACAACUUCAAUGAUUUUCUCUUGAAAGAAAACUCAAAAAGUUUUGGUAAAUUAAAGCAUCUGGAUCUUAGCCAUAAUAAAUUAGAUAGUGUGCUCGUGGAGGAGCAUUUUGCAGGCCUAUCGAAUUUAGAGCAUCUGGACUUGUCCUACAACUCUUUGAUAUUAGCUAUCAACCAAAAAUGGGUUCCUCCAUUUAGAUUGAAAGUCGCAAGAUUCCAGUCAUGCCAAGUGGGGCCCAAUUUUCCAGAGUGGCUUAAAGGGCAAUCUAACAUUGAUGUUCUUGUUCUUGGUGAUGCAAAUCUGGAUGAUGUUGUUCCUGAGUGGUUUUGGGUGACAUUUUCCCGAGCUUCAAUCUUGCAAGCAUCAGGAAACAAAUUGCAUGGCUCAUUACCAGCAAAUCUACGACACAUGUCAGCGGGCUAUAUACAUCUCGGAUCCAAUAAGUUUACAGGUCAAGUCCCACAGUUUCCUAUAAAUAUAGCACGAUUGAACCUAUCUUCAAACUUUUUAUCCGGGUCUUUGCCAUCAGGGCUAAAUGCUCCACUACUCGAAGAGUUGUUGCUUGCAAAUAAUCAACUCACAGGCACCAUCCCGUCAUCUAUAUGCCGACUGACUAGAAUGAAAAGGUUGGACCUAUCAGGAAAUCAUUUAGAAGGAGAUAUUGGGCAGUGCUGGAAGGAAUUUGAUGCAAACUCUACAAAUCAAUUUGGUUAUGACAUGCUGAGCUUAGCCCUUAAUAACAAUGAUCUCAUCGGUGAAUUCCCUAAAUUUCUUCAAAGGUCAUCAGGAUUAAUGUUCCUUGAUCUUUCUUACAACAAGUUAUUUGGAGGAUUGCCAGAAUGGUUACCCCAAAAAAUGUCACACCUGAAAAUAUUAAGAGUGAGAUCAAAUAUGUUCAGUGGUCACAUUCCUAAGAGUCUCACUUUCCUUAACAGUCUUCAUUAUUUGGACAUAGCACACAACAACAUAUCAGGAAGCAUACCAUGGUCUUUGUCAAGCCUGAAGGCAAUGAUGACAGUGGUGUCGCAGGACACGGGGGAUUACAUUUAUGAGGAGACCAUCCCAGUAAUCACAAAGGACCAAAAGCGUGACUACACCUUUGCAAUUUACCAGCUACUGGUAGUUCUUGAUUUGUCAAGUAAUAGUUUGGCAGGACAGGUUCCAGAGGAGAUAACUCUACUCAUUGGACUUACCAGCCUGAACUUGUCAAAUAAUCAGUUCAUAGGAACAAUCCCAAACAAAGUUGGCGAUUUAAAGCGGUUGGAGUCACUCGACCUAUCCUACAAUGAGUUUUCUGGUGCAAUACCAUCAAGUUUGUCAGCUUUAACUUAUUUGAGCCACUUAAACUUGUCAUACAACAAUCUGUCUGGUGCAAUACCAUCCAGCCAACAGCUACAAACUCUUGACAACGAGAUGUAUAUCUACAUCGGUAACCCUGGUCUUUGUGGAGAUCCUGUCAGUAGGAACUGCUCAAUACAUGAUGUAGAGCAAAGUGGCCUCGAAGAUAUAGAUCAUAUGCCAUCUGUUUAUCUUGCCAUGAGCAUUGGAUUUGUGGUGGGUCUGUGGACGGUUUUCUGCACCAUGUUGAUGAAGAGAACAUGGAGGGCUGCCUUCUUCCAGUUUGUGGAUAUGAUGUACGACAUGGUUUAUGUGCAAGUGGCUACAACUUUUACUCAGCUCACCCAUGCCCACCGAGGGUGUGUUUGCCAGCUAAGUGGAGAAGCUCAAGGCCGACCAGUUCAAGCCCUCGGAGCACGUGACCCUGGAGCCCUUUGA